AUGUGGGACCGGCCUGGCCUUGAGGUCCACACCCCAGCCAUGAGCAGCCUGUGCUCGGCAUGGCACCUCCAGCUGCCUACCAGGCCAGAGAAGGGUACCCUGGUCACCGUCUCCUCGGUUGAGGGUCCCCCACGGCUGCUCCGCCUGACCCACGGGCCAGGUCCCUGGGGUUUGUGGCUGCGCCGCCACUGCCUGAGGGCCAGAGGCCUGGAGCACAGGCAGGGUCUCGGCCCCAUUCGGGACCAGGCCUGGGAGCUGACAGAGCCCCUGGAGGGCGGCCAGGACCGCUUCAGCGCUUGGGGCCAGGGCACCCUGGCCACCGUCUCCUCGGAAAUGGGACUUCUGCUGGCGGAACAGUCUGGGCCGAGCGGGCUCCGCGGCCGGGGCCGCAGGGACCCGGGGGUGGGGCUUCGGGUGGGACCAGGAGGCUGCCAGGGGCUUGGGUUUUUGUACACCCCCCAACGGGAUCCAUGGCACUGUGACCUCUAUGGCCCCUGGGGCCAGGGGGUCCUGGCCACCGUCUCCUCAGGUCUAGAGGGCCCGGGGCAGCCUGGUGGGCUCGGAAAGAGGGCCGAGGGGGCCCAGGCUCACCCCGGCGAGGAACGGAGGUUCCAGACGCCCUCUCUGGCUGGGCGCUGCAGCCAGGGCUUCCCCUGGGGCUCUCAGCCACCCUCGGGCUCUGGGGUCCCGAGGUCCCCAGCCCGGCCGGCCACGGCUGGGAUGUGGGGCCUCUGGGGCAGCCUGGAGGGAGCAGGGCCAGCAGAGGGUUCCGGGGCCCUCCGGAUAAGUGACUCGGACCACCGGCUUCCACGCGGCGCCUGUAGACAGGACAGGUCCCCGGGCGCCAUGGGGCCGUGCCGGGCCCCCGAGGUUUUUGUGAGUGAUUGCUACGGUAUAGACGCCUGGGGCCAAGGGGUCUCUGUCACCGUCUCCUCAGCGAGCCCGUCUCCCCCGACUCUCUUCCCCCUGGUGUCCUGCGUGAGCCCCCUGCCUGAUGCGAAGCCGGUGGCCCUGGGCUGCCUGGCCCGGGACUUCUUGCCCAACUCCGCCAGCUUCUCCUGGAGCUACAGUAACAGCAGCGGGGUCAGCAGCCAGAACGUCCAGAUCUUCCCGGCCGUCCUGAGGGAGGGCAAGUACACGGCCUCCUCCCAGGUGCUCCUGCCGCCCUCAAGCAUCCCCCAGGGCCACGAAGAGCACCUGCUGUGCAAAGUCAAGCACCCCAACGGCGACCAGUCCGUGCCAGUGCCUAUCCAAGGCGAUUCGCUACCUCCUAUGCCUCCCAACGUGGCCGUCUUCAUCCCCCCCCGAGAUGCCUUCUCCGGCUCUCCCCAGCGCACGUCCAGGCUCAUCUGCCAGGCCACAGACUUCAGCCCCAAGCAGAUCUCCUUGUCCUGGUUUCGUGACGGAAAGCGGGUGGUGUCUGGCAUCAGUGAAGGGCCGGUGGAGACUGUACAGUCCUCGCCCAUGACCUUCAGGACCUACAGCAUGCUGACCAUCACGGAGAACGAGUGGCUCAGCCAGAGCGUGUUCACCUGCGAGGUGGAGCACAACAAGGAGAUCUUCCAGAAGAACGUGUCCUCUGUGUGCAACAAUCUAGUCCAGCCCCUCGUCAUAAGGAUCUUCACCAUCGCCCCGUCCUUCGCCGGCAUCUUCCUCACCAAGUCAGCCAAGCUUUCCUGCCUGGUCACAGACCUGACCACCUAUGAGAGCCUGAGCAUCUCCUGGACCCGCCAGGACGGCACGGCCCUGGAGACCCUGACCAACAUCUCCGGGAGCCACGCCAAUGGCACCUUCAGCGCCGUGGGUGAGGCCUCCGUCUGUGUGGAGGACUGGGAGUCUGGAGACUGGUUCACGUGCACGGUGACCCACACAGAUCUGCCCUCGCCGCUGAAGCACAGCAUCUCCAGGCCCAAAGAGGUCGCCAAGCACAUGCCGUCCGUGUACGUGCUGCCACCGACGCGGGAACAGCUGAGCAUGCGGGAGUCCGCCUCCGUCACCUGCCUGGUGAAGGGCUUCUCGCCCGCGGACGUGUUCGUGCAGUGGCUGCAGAAGGGGCAGCCCAUGUCCUCCGACAAGUACGUGACCAGUGCCCCGGCGCCCGAGCCCCAGGCCCCCGGCUUCUACUUCGUGUACAGCAUCCUGACGGUGAGCGAGGAGGACUGGGACAGCGGGGAGACCUACACCUGCGUCGUGGGCCACGAGGCCCUGCCCCACAUGGUGACCGAGAGGACCGUGGACAAGUCCACCGAGGGCGAAGUGAGCGCCGAGGAAGAAGGCUUCGAGAACCUCAACACCAUGGCCUCCACCUUCAUCGUCCUCUUCCUCCUGGGCCUCUUCUACAGCACCACGGUCACCCUGUUCAAGGUGAAGUGACGGCCAGCCAAGGACGUGGGGGACCAGAGACGGAACGAGCGGGGAGCCGCCUGGGGCCAGGGGUUCUGCGUGGCUCGUCCACUUGUACUGAAAUUUUCCCCAUGUCCCUCUCCAGCUUCGAGCUCUAAGAAACCGGCUUCUCCCGACGUGGCCAAAU